AGUUAUGGGGUGGGAGCACCCGUAAGGGUCCAGUUAUGGGCUGGAAGAACCCAUAGGUGUCUGGUUAUGGGGCAGGAGCACCCAUAGGGCUCUGAUUAUGGGAGAAUUGUUGGACCUGGGGGACGUUGAAGCCAGUGGACGUCCAAGCUGUGGGACGUCCAACCUGUAGGAGAUGGAGCCAGCAAACACCAAAAGCGGUGGUUUUCGGCACUGGAAAGUGCCUGACGUGGGGGACGUUGGAAGCCAGUGGGCAGCGGAGACGGGGAAACGUCCGACCUGCGGGUGUUGGAGCUGGUGGACGCUGAAACUGGUAGAUGUUGGAGCUGGUGGACCCCAAAACUGGUGGGUUUUGGCACUGGAAAAUGUCUGACCUGGGGGAAGUUGAGAGCCACGAAAUGUCCGACCUGUGGGGGCCGGAGCCAGCAGACACCAAAACCAGCAGGUAUCAGAGCAAGCGAGCACCAAAACUGGUGAUUUUCGGCACUGGGAAAUGUCUAAGCUGGGAGACGUUGAAGUUGGCAGACAGAGAUGGAAAACGGGACGGAUGGACGGCAAAUGGGGUGGUGGGGAUGGGAAGUGUCCGACCUGCGGCUCCUGGAGCUGGUGGACACCAAACGUGGCAGAUAUUGGGGCUGGUGGACACCAAAAGCAGCCGAUACUGGAACUGGCAAACACCAAAAGCGCCGGCAAACGUCCAACCUGAGGUGACACUAAGAGCUGGGGAUUGUCCAACUUUGGGGACAUCGGAGCCAGGAAUCGUCUGAUCUGGGAUGACAUCAGAGGUGGGAAACAUCUGACCUGGGGGACUUCGGAGCCGGAAAAUACCUGACCUGGGGCGUCUCGGAGCUGGGACAUGUCCAUCCGACCCGGGGUGACAUCAGAGCUGGGAAACAUCUGACCUCAAAUGACGUUGGAGCUGGGAAUCGUCUGACCUGGGGUGACACCAGAGCCGGGGAACAUCCAACCUGGGGGGACACCAAGAGCUGGGGAUUGUCCAACUCUGGGGACAUCGGAGCUGGGAAACAUCCAACCUGGGGUGACAUCAGAGCUGGGGAAUGUCCAACCCUGGGGUGACCGCAGCAAGAGCUGUGGAUUGUCCAACUCUGGGGACAUUGGAGCCGGGAAUCGUCUGAACUGAGGUGACACCAGGAGCCGGGAAUUGUCCAACACUGGGGACACCGGAGCCGGGAAUCAUCCAACGUGGGGUGACACCAAGAGCUGGGAAUUGUCCAACACUGAGGACACCGGAGCCGGGAAUCAUCCAACGUGGGGUGACACCAAGAGCUGGGAAUUGUCCAACACUGGGGACACCGGAGCCGGGAAUCAUCCAACGUGGGGUGACACCAAGAGCUGGGAAUUGUCCAACACUGGGGACACCGGAGCCGGGAAUCAUCCAACGUGGGGUGACACCAAGAGCUGGGAAUUGUCCAACACUGGGGACACCGGAGCCGGGAAUCAUCCAACGUGGGGUGACACCAAGAGCUGGGAAUUGUCCAACACUGGGGACACCGGAGCCGGGAAUCAUCCAACGUGGGGUGACACCAAGAGCUGGGAAUUGUCCAACACUGGGGACACCGGAGCCGGGAAUCAUCCAACGUGGGGUGACACCAAGAGCUGGGAAUUGUCCAACACUGGGGACACCGGAGCCGGGAAUCAUCCAACGUGGGGUGACACCAAGAGCUGGGAAUUGUCCAACACUGGGGACACCGGAGCCGGGAAUCAUCCAACGUGGGGUGACACCAAGAGCUGGGAAUUGUCCAACA
ensembl:lncRNA